AUCCAGAUGACAAGUACCAAAUAGGACGAAACGCGCAUCCUGGAU
rnacentral:hammerhead_ribozyme from 1 species